rnacentral:rRNA from 1 species
CCGGCGCACGGGUGAGUAACGCGUAUGCAACCUGCCCGUUUCAGCGGGAUAACCCGGAGAAAUCCGGCCUAAUACCGCAUGUGGCCGAGGGGAGGCAUCUUCUUUCGGCCAAAGGAGGCGACUCCGGAGACGGAUGGGCAUGCGUGACAUUAGCUUGUUGGCGGGGUAACGGCCCACCAAGGCGACGAUGUCUAGGGGUUCUGAGAGGAAGGUCCCCCACACUGGUACUGAGACACGGACCAGACUCCUACGGGAGGCAGCAG